rnacentral:tRNA from 1 species
GGCUGAGCUCAGUUGGUUAGAGCAUGGUGCUAAUAACACCAAGCUCGUGGGUUCAACCCCCAUAUGGGUCA